rnacentral:rRNA from 1 species
UGAACGCUAGCUACAGGCUUAACACAUGCAAGUCGAGGGGCAGCAUGGUCUUAGCUUGCUAAGGCCGAUGGCGACCGGCGCACGGGUGAGUAACACGUAUCCAACCUGCCGUCUACUCUUGGACAGCCUUCUGAAAGGAAGAUUAAUACAAGAUGGCAUCAUGAGUCCGCAUGUUCACAUGAUUAAAGGUAUUCCGGUAGACGAUGGGGAUGCGUUCCAUUAGAUAGUAGGCGGGGUAACGGCCCACCUAGUCUUCGAUGGAUAGGGGUUCUGAGAGGAAGGUCCCCCACAUUGGAACUGAGACACGGUCCAAACUCCUACGGGAGGCAGCAGUGAGGAAUAUUGGUCAAUGGGCGAGAGCCUGAACCAGCCAAGUAGCGUGAAGGAUGACUGCCCUAUGGGUUGUAAACUUCUUUUAUAAAGGAAUAAAGUCGGGUAUGCAUACCCGUUUGCAUGUACUUUAUGAAUAAGGAUCGGCUAACUCCGUGCCAGCAGCCGCGGUAAUACGGAGGAUCCGAGCGUUAUCCGGAUUUAUUGGGUUUAAAGGGAGCGUAGAUGGAUGUUUAAGUCAGUUGUGAAAGUUUGCGGCUCAACCGUAAAAUUGCAGUUGAUACUGGAUAUCUUGAGUGCAGUUGAGGCAGGCGGAAUUCGUGGUGUAGCGGUGAAAUGCUUAGAUAUCACGAAGAACUCCGAUUGCGAAGGCAGCCUGCUAAGCUGCAACUGACAUUGAGGCUCGAAAGUGUGGGUAUCAAACAGGAUUAGAUACCCUGGUAGUCCACACGGUAAACGAUGAAUACUCGCUGUUUGCGAUAUACGGCAAGCGGCCAAGCGAAAGCGUUAAGUAUUCCACCUGGGGAGUACGCCGGCAACGGUGAAACUCAAAGGAAUUGACGGGGGCCCGCACAAGCGGAGGAACAUGUGGUUUAAUUCGAUGAUACGCGAGGAACCUUACCCGGGCUUAAAUUGCAGAUGAAUUACGGUGAAAGCCGUAAGCCGCAAGGCAUCUGUGAAGGUGCUGCAUGGUUGUCGUCAGCUCGUGCCGUGAGGUGUCGGCUUAAGUGCCAUAACGAGCGCAACCCUUGUUGUCAGUUACUAACAGGUUCCGCUGAGGACUCUGACAAGACUGCCAUCGUAAGAUGUGAGGAAGGUGGGGAUGACGUCAAAUCAGCACGGCCCUUACGUCCGGGGCUACACACGUGUUACAAUGGGGGGUACAGAGGGCCGCUACCACGCGAGUGGAUGCCAAUCCCCAAAACCUCUCUCAGUUCGGACUGGAGUCUGCAACCCGACUCCACGAAGCUGGAUUCGCUAGUAAUCGCGCAUCAGCCACGGCGCGGUGAAUACGUUCCCGGGCCUUGUACACACCGCCCGUCAAGCCAUGGGAGCCGGGGGUACCUGAAGUGCGUAACCGCGAGGAGCGCCCUAGGGUAAAACUGGUGACUGGGGCUAAGU